GGUCAAGUGUACAUAAACCUCACAGAAUGUUAAUAAUUUUAACAAUAAUAGGGAUGAAAAAAAUUGCCUGUUUUUAUUUAGUGUUUCCCUGAACAAGCUAUUUCACAUAAUAGAUGUUUACAUAUAGACCACGAGACAAAAUAAUAGAUGAAUUUACACAAAAUUAAUCCAUUCAAAGGUUUAUAUUUACUUGAAUCUUAAUACUGCGUGUUGUUUUCUGCAGAGAGAUCGGGACGAUUCAAAGGGCCCUGGUCAGACAGGGGGUCCAUUCAACAUAUUUUGUAUUAAAGCAAGAGUUCAGAACUGUCAAUUUGAUUUAUGAGGUCCAACAACACCUGAUGAACAUGUCUAUCAUUGUUUGUCGGCGUCUGUCUGUGAUGUGAAUUGGCCUUUAGGCGCUUCACUAUCCAGACAGUCCAUUUUCAGCACAGAUCAGAGCAUGUGUGGAACACCACUUUACUGAACUGCACCAAAGACUUUAUAUACAGAAAGACGGUGCUCACAUAUUACUUAGAAAUGGGAGAAAGUGCAAUGCGUAAUAUGGCAGAAUAAGUCCCGCCUUCUAAAUAAAAGAGCUGAUUGGUAAAGUCUACGCAGUUGCUGCUGUUAAAAGCUGCAGUUUCUGGUGUUUUGAGACUGUUACGUAGUGCUCCGAGACUGAGUGAAGAUACAAAUGGAGCUUGUAUUAGAGGGACAAUCCAGAACAGUUAUCCAAAUACAGGCAAUGGGUCAAGCACAGGAAGGCAGUCCAAACAAACAAACAACACUUCAGGGAACUCAGGCAAAAGGGGAAUUCAAGAAACAAGAAACCAGGGAGAAUGCCCAGAAUUACAACACAACAACAUACAAAACCUUGCAGUGAAUGAUAGAAUGAACCAGACUUAUAUACAGAGUUAACAAGGCUAAUGAGCAACAGCUGAAUGUAAACAUGGCUGAUUAGACUGGGCAAAGGAUUAUGGGGAAUGGAGUCCGUGAUAGUGUGGUAAUUGUCCGGGUUGGAGUGCCUUCUGGUGGUAAUCCCGGGCACUCUCACUAGUGAUCGUGACAGAGAAGCACUCAGGACUGCACAUGCGCAUUUCUUGGUCUUGCCUGGAAAACAAGCUUUUUUUUUUCUUUUCUGACGGCUGCGUUCACACAACAGCAGAAUACAGAUGUCAUAUGUCAUAUGAAACUAAAGUGACUUCCUUUCAGGACUACAAAUGAAUUUUGUGAGUAAAUUCAUUAAACAGGGGGAGUCUAAAUAUGCAAGAAACAAGCAGGAACACUGUGAUAAUGAGAAGCAACUUUCCCUAGCAAUGUCGAGCAACCAGCAGAAAUACUCUAGAAACCAGAUCGAAAACCCUCAUCUUUAUUACUUCUGUUAAUGUCAGUAGGUGUUAUUCAUGACUAUCUUCCAAUUAAAGGAAUGUUUUGGUGUCAAAACUAGUUUAGCUCAAAUUUAAUUGACAGAAUUUGUAGCAUAAUGCUGAUUACCACAACAAAAAGGACUUAACUUUGUACUUCAGCCUUUACAUAUAAUGACACUGAGUGAUUCUGUGAUAAAUGCAUUUAAAUGUGCACAAUCUGUAUUGUUAAAAAAUCUUUUCAGUUACCUUUGAAGUUCCUUAAUGCAUAAAUACUUGAAACAUUUCCACAGAACAGUUCCUUUUGCAUUAAUACAAUCAAUACACACAAACACAGAUGAGGAACAAAACACACUUCACUCCAGAGGAGAAACUAGUACUAGUUCGUUGGCAUCUUGAAGACACUAAAACUGUCUGAAAGUGUAAAUGAAAAUAUAGAAAGGAGAACAACCUGCAAAAUGAACAGAAAAGAUGGACAGACCACUAAUAUCUACGAAAAUGAUGACGUUAUAAAAGGAAGUGUUUGUGUGAAGAUCAGAAGCUCCAGAGCAGCUGCAGUGUGUUUGGUGCUGCUGUGUGUUCUUCUGCUGACUGCAGUCAUAGUGCUGUGUGUCACGUUCACUCAAGAGAGACGACAGUUAAUAUCCAAGAAUGAAAACCUUCAGAUGACUCUUGGUAAACUGGGAACUUGUCAGUAACAGUUCUGAUAGUUUCUGGAUUGGUCUGACUGACAGUGAUGUGGAGGGCAGAUGGGAAUGGGUUGAUGGCAGCGCACUGCACUUUAAUUUGCCUCACCACAAACAACUCUAUGAUAUAUUAUUUUUUUAAAUAUUUGAAACAUACAUAUAUACAUAUAGAAUGCUGCAUUAAACAAUUUUGUAAGGGGAAAAAAAUAAAUAAUAAAUCAGCUCCAUUGCAGAUUCUAUGGAGCUAGAAUUAUGACAAUAGUAUUUGAAUUUGAAUUGUGUAAAUUUGAAUUAUAGACAAGUGUAAUUUAAUAAAAUUGAAUAUUAUGUGGCAUUUUACAUAGUUCUGAAUUAGAUUUUUUAAAACUUGAAUAUUAAACAUUUGAAAUUGAACACAACUGAAAUGUUUUCAUGGCAGAAUUUUAUAGACAUGUAUUUUCAAACAGCAGAUUUUUCAUUCUGAAAUUUUAGACUGUAAAUAUCCAGUUUUUAAAAAUACAGCUUCAAGUUUUCAAGAUAAAGAAGAAAUUCAGAACAUCAAAUUCAAUAUUGUAAAUUCAAAGCGCAGAAAUUCAGAUAGUAUAGAAAGUAGGUCAGAGGCCAUCCGCAGGGAAGAGUAGAGGCUCUCAGAAGAGUCGAACGCAGAAUUUCGGCCAAAUACAGAGUCUAUGCUUAAACAUUUAUGAGCUGUAUUUAUAUGUUAGGCUGAAAUGAAACAUUUGUCUAAGUUUCUCUAUUGUUUGUUUUAAAGUAUAUUUGGUGUGAAAGUGAUUAGCAUGCUACUGUGUCUAGAACCCAUUGAUUAUAAUCAGUAAUAUAAUGUAUGAUGUAAUGUAAUGAUAUUUUACAUAAAUGAAGUUUACAUAUAGUCCACAAGACAAAAAAAAUAAAUAAAAAAAAUAGCUGAAUUUAUUAAAAUAACCCCAUUCAAAAGUUUGUGAACCAUUGAUUCUUAAUACUGUGUGUGGUUACCUGGAUGAUCUACGACUGUUUUUCUGUUGUGUGAUGGUUGUUCAUGAGUCCCUUGUUUAUCCUGAACAGUUAAAUUGAGCUCUGUUCUUCAGAAAAAAUCCUUGUAGAUUCUUCAGUUUUCCACCAUCUUUUGCAUAUUUGAACCCUUUCCAGCAGUGACUGUAUGAUUUUGAGAUCCAUCUUUUCACACUGAGGACAACUGAGGGACUCAAACACAACUAUUAAAAAAAAAAAAAAAAGUUCAAACAUUCACUGAUGAACAGGAUGCAUCAAGAGCUGGGGGGUGAAAACUUUUUGAAUUUGAAGAUCAAGGUAAAUUGUACUUAAUUUGUCUUCCGGGAAACAUGUAAGUAUCUUCUGUUGUUUCCAAAGGGCAGUACUAAUAAACAAAAAAUAAUAAUAAUAAUAAAAAAAUAAUAUAAUAAUAAUAAUAAAUAUUAUAUAUAUAUAUAUAUUUUUUUUUUUUAUAAAGAAAGUUUUCGAGCUGCCGCCAUUGAAGUUUUAAGCAGUUCAUAAGCCGCUCCGUAACCAGCGAUUGGUGGCGCGAUCCCUGACGUCAGACCCUUACACCAGCAGAUUGAUGGACUGAUCGUCCAAUCAGAAGUCACACCUGAAAAAGAGUACACAGACACGCACACAUAUGCAGCAGCAACUACAUAGCACAGUGUACGUAACACCUUGUUUAAAAAAAACAAUGUGUGGGAGUGUGUUCAUGUGCAGUAUGCAUUUCCAAACUGAGGAUGUUUACAUCUCAUCUCAUCUUGAACCUGCUGAAAUGUUCCUGUAAAUAUAUUUCCUUUCCAAAUGUGCAUUUCCCCAGUAACCUGCCACAGUCCAGUGCUUGUUCUAAACGUUGUAGAGGAAUUUUUAUUGCUUAUCAUUUAUUCUCCUGAUUUAUAAAUUGAUGCAUUGAUACUUGUUUUCUCUGUCUUGUGUAUCAUUUAAAACAACUUGUUCAGUGGAAAAUUACUGCUAAUGCUGUUCUCUUUUAAGAAACGCCUCUGAAACUAACAAAGGAAGUGAGGCAAAGGUGCAAAUGUGUUUGUCUUGACAGCUUGGACUUCAAUAAGGCAUCUGCUAAGUUUCAGACCCCGCUCUUUUUUUCAAUGUUUAUGAUCCUAAUAUAGUACCGUGUUAUGAUUGGUUUGGGGUAACAAGGAACAAUAAGAGGGGUAUAUAAGACAGCCGCACUGGGUGAGGGUGUUCUUCUCUGUAGAACUGUGUAGAAAUCUUCUUUAAACAACCUUCUUGCAAGAAUAAA